UUUGUUUUGGUCAGACAAGGUAGUUUUGGAUAAAGUUGAAGUUUUGACCCCAAUUUCACGGUCCACUAAACAUAGAAAAUGAUAGUGUGGGUGGGGCAUCCAUGUACUGUGGACACAUUCUUGUUAUCAAUUGUGUCAAGUUGACGUCACAUUUUAAGUUCACCUUUCAAUAAUCUUAUGCAUUUUUUAAAUGUUUUUCUUUUAUUGCUUUGUUCAUAAAUCAGGCCCUCAGUUUUCUCGUUUGAAUUUUUUUUAAAUUUCUCAUUUUGGGGUCUUUUAUAGCUUUCUGUGCUAUGUGGGUUUUGCUCAUUGUUGAGUCCAUACUGUGUCCUGUAGACAUUAAAUUCAUAUAGUCUCUUGUGGAGAGUUGUCUCAUUGACAAUCAUGCCACAUCUUCUUAUUUUAUAUUGGUAUUGUUUUUAAAAGCAUAUAUCAAGAUGUUGUAGAUGGUUAAUAAAAUUCAAAACAAUACAAAUU
rnacentral:lncRNA from 1 species